rnacentral:lncRNA from 1 species
GCGCCUCGGAGCUGGCUUCAACCAGCGAAGGCUGAACCCGCUUCCAGGGUCCUCGCCGAGCUGGGAGUUAGGAUCCGAGGGGGCCAAGAGGGAUAAGAAAACUUCUCUGGGUGCCCACGUGGUACUGAGCGCCCUUGGGAGGGCUCUGGAGAAGACCAUCGCCUUCCAGGGUAGCUCCCUCCCUCAAAGGGAAGGAAACUGAGGUCCAGAAAAGUUAUGACUCGCCCCAAGGGGAUUGCCUGGCAGGACGUGAAGGGGAAGAGGCCCACCCUGGAGUAACCCUCACUGGAGAAUCCAGAGGUGAGAUGAGCCUUGUACCUAUCUCAGCAGAGGGAGUAGGAUAAUAUUUAAAUAUUAAGGGUGGGGAGAAGGAAUGAAGGCAAGAAAUAAAAUGCCCAAAAUGCCCCAAACGCCAUCCGGACCAUAAAAGUGAUGGCGAUAGUGUUGGACUUAGGAGCUCAAAGAUGCUAACCUUGACAGGCCUGGUGGCCCAAGUCUGUAGUCUCAGCUACUUGGAAGGCUGAGGCAGGAGGAUCGCUUUAGCCCAGGAGUGCCAAUCCCUCCUGGGCAACAUAGUGAGAUCCUUGUUUCCUUAAAAAAAAAAAAAAAGUGCAUAC